rnacentral:rRNA from 1 species
UGGCAGACGAGGUAGUAACACGUAAGUACGUACCCUGUAGUCUGGCAUAGCUCGUCGAAAGACGGGGUAAUUCCAGAUGGUCCCCGCAUUUAAUUAUGUUGGGUAAAGAAUUUCGCUACAGGAGCGGCUUGCGUAGUAUCAGCUAGUUGGUAGGGUAAUGGCCUACCAAGGCUACGACGCUUAGGGGAGCUGAGAGGCUGACCCCCACCGAUGGGACUGAGACACGGCCCAU